rnacentral:misc_RNA from 1 species
GAUGAGGAACGUAGCGAAAUGCGAUACUUGGUGUGAAUUGCAGAAUCCCGUGAACCAUCGAGUCUUUGAACGCAAGUUGCGCCCGAAGCCAUUAGGCCGAGGGCACGCCUGCCUGGGCGUCACACGUCGUUGCCCCCCCAUCUACUCCUUCGGGAUUGCGGGGGGCGGAUGAUGGCCUCCCGUGCGCCACGCCGCGCGGUUGGCAUAAAUGCCAAGUCCUCGGCGACGCACGCCACGACAAUCGGUGGUUGCGAAACCUCGGUUGCCCGUCGUGUGCGGUCGUCGCGCAUCGAGGGCUCGAAAAAAUUGCCGGGUUCCGGCUCGGCUUUCAACGCGACCCCAGGUCAGGCGGGGUUACCCGCUGAAUUUAAGCAUAUCAAUAAGCGGAGGA